GCACUGCUGAGGACUCCCACAACAGGACGAAACGGCCGUCCAGUGC
rfam:Schistosoma margrebowiei strain Zambia genome assembly, scaffold: SMRZ_scaffold0001208